rnacentral:rRNA from 1 species
AAGGUGCUGCAUGGUUGUCGUCAGCUCGUGCCGUGAGGUGUCAGGUUAAGUCCUAUAACGAGCGCAACCCCUACCGUUAGUUGCCAGCAUGUAAAGAUGGGGACUCUAACGGGACUGCCGGUGCAAACCGCGAGGAAGGUGGGGAUGACGUCAAAUCAUCACGGCCCUUACGUCCUGGGCCACACACGUGCUACAAUGGUCAGUACAAAGGGUUGCCAAGCCGCAAGGUGGAGCUAAUCCCAGAAAGCUGGUCGUAGUCCGGAUUGGAGUCUGCAACUCGACUCCAUGAAGCUGGAAUCGCUAGUAAUCGCGUAUCAGCCAUGACGCGGUGAAUACGUUCCCGGGCCUUGUACACACCGCCCGUCAAGCCAUGGAAGCUGGGAGUGCCUGAAGUCGGUUACCGCAAGGAGCCGCCUAGGGUAAAACUGGUAACUAGGGCUAAGUCGUAACAAGGUAGCCGUACCGGAAGGUGCGGCUGGAUCACCUCCUU